AUAAAAGGAUUCCGAUGCAUCCGGAGCCUCGACCGCCUCUCCACGACGCGUGCUCCCUAGCCAACGAUAGCCGUCGGCUGUCGCCUCCCGUACGCGUGCGUCGCGUCGUAGGUGCCUAGGCGCGGAUUCGCACGCGUCGUCUCCGCACGGGGAAGCUGAGCCAAGGAUCCGCGCGGGCAAGAUGGAUCUGGGCGGCAGCGGCCUAGAUCCACGCACGGAGGUGUCACGCGAGCCGUGCCCGAGGCGGCGCAGAGGUGCUCCUCGAGCGGCGGCGGGACGGGUCCCUGGGUGGAGGCGCGAAUUCUAGGUAGCAUGGAGAAGCUCCAGGCGACGCAGCUAAUCCCCGAUUGGUGAGCGUGGGUCUUUUGCAUGCUUCCUGCUAUGUGAUCAUGAAGCUGAAUAGCUGAUGGAUGGGCUAUAUAAUUUUGUUGGCGUAUCUGCUACAUUCCCUCCAAGGUUUUGCACAUGCUCCCUUUCUGUAUGACAAUGAAGCUGAUAGAUGGGCUGUAUAGUUUUGCAACACUAACGACAGGCGUUCUAUGUUCACAUGAUCCCAGGUAGUUUUUGAGUUCUAUGUGCAAAUGUUGUUCCUUUUUGUCAUUAUGACAUGCUAACCAACUCCAUUUUGACCUAAUUCACAACAUGUCGCUUCUAUGUGGCCUUACUUUCUAAUUGUUAUAAAAGAGCUGCAUGGAGUAUAUAUCAACAUAAGUGCUAUAUAUGAUGUCUGCAUGCACCUAUGACUAAUACCUUCAAAAGGUUGACUUCAACAAUUUUUGCCAAAGAGCUAGGUCCUUUCCCUAGCUAAAUCAACCCUUUCCCUAGCUAAAUCAACUAUGUAUUAUGGGUGUCAUUGUGAUUAGGGUAAAAUUCAUUUCAUCGCUUGCUUUUGAUUCCUUUCAAUUUAUGCUUCAUCUAUUGAUUCAUUAGGAUUCCUAAUGCUUUAUUUCACUAAUUGCUAACUGACAUUGUUCCUCAUCUCUUUUAAUAGUAUUUAUAAUGGUUACUUCACCUUAUUGUUCACUAAUUUGAUUUCCCAUCUCUUUGUCAACUUGAACGUCCAUAAUCUUCACGUAGGACAUUAUUCCCUUCUUAAAAAAUUUGACACGAAAUAGCUGUUGACAUCCUUUUUUGUGGUUUGGUGAAAAAUUUGCAUUGGUGUGUUGGUGUCAGAAAUUAGUUUGUAUUUGGAAAUGCAGAAAAGCAAUGCAUUAGCCUUUCAGAUACAGCCUACCAGUGCUUUGGCUAAAUAAUUCAGUUGUACAAUUGAGCAUUCGUUUGUGGUAUCGAAGACGCGUCGGUGAGACAAAUCAUAACAUUUGUAGUGUGUUUCUGUGCUUUAUGAACUACUACUUGGUUUGCCAAGAAACAAGGUAAGCUGUUUCUGUGAUUUUAUUUCCCCCGUUUCUAUUUGCCAGACAUCUUGCAGUCUUGCAGGUUAUAUUGUCCUGUGCUAAAUUUUUCUCAGGCAUUGUAUUUACCUUUCUCAAUUAAUUUAAGGUUUGCUAUAGCGCCCAGCAUUCCAGAAAUUGUCAAAUUUAAUCGCUCAAGCCUCAAGCAAAGAAUUUGAACUUUGUUCAGGUUCCACCUUUUUGUUUUGACACCCAACAUUAAUCGUUACAUAUUUCUUCUUUUAGCUUCAUGACACUGAUAAUGCUAUAUAUCAUUUGGGGGUAAAUCUAGAGCACAAAAGACCAUACAAAGGUGUCAGUUUUAUUUUGUACAUCAAAAUAGACAACAAGGAAAAACAUCUUUUAUGCAGAUAACAAAAAUAAAAGCUUUGAUAUCUUUACUUUCAUAUAUUCCAGCAGAACAUUACUAAUUUAUUCUCCCAAAGAAAUAUUUUUUGCUUUGUAGGCCACAGGAAGAUGUUCUCUUGCUGUUCUUUUGAGUCUCAGUCUAGCAUAUUCUUCGUAGUCUCCAUUUUGGUUCGGCAAAUGCUUGGUGCCUUUUUCUUAUGGCAACCUCGAGACUCCUAAUUUAAAUCGUGUAUUUUCACAUGCUUUAGCACUUCUUAAGUUCAUUUUACAGUUUUAUUGUUGUUGUGUUCAUGCUUCCUGCUUCUGUUCAAUUUCAUGCAUCCUUUCUUGCAACAUUACGAGAGGGAAGCAGCAUCAGGCAAUUGCAUGGUGCCAACAGUGCUUUUCAUUUCUAUUAGUUCUUUCAGAUUUAGAUUUUAAUAUCCAUGAUCAGACUCAGCUGUCAAAAUGAUUGGACUAAAUUGGUGUUUAUGUUCAGGAUGUUUUAGUGUUACUUCAAAUUCCAUAUACAUGUUGUCUUUGGCCAGCUGACUGAACUGAACCUUUUAGCAAGACUAAGAUAUAUAUGGUCCUUGGGCACUGAAAUGUAGGAGAGCUAUUUGAUGAAAAUCGUAAGGAUUCUGCUCAUCUCUUCAAACUAAGCAUGAUUUAUGAACCAACGAAGCAAAUUCUUUGUUUCAAAUAAGAUUUCAAUGCAUGACAAACAUUACCAAACAUGCGCCACCAGAUAGCCCAAACACGACGGCGCAGCGUAGCCUGCCUUCCGUUCCGUCCUAGUUAAUUUCAAACUCGAAAAAUUCUAGGACCUAAGCGAUCCAUAUCAAAGUAUUGUCUUCUGAGUGAGGGGCUAAACUGUACUCGGAAGUACGCACGUUUAAUCCAUGUGUCCGUAGCCAAAAAGAAAUACCAAAUAACAUAAUAUAUUAAUCGUGUGAAGGCAUGAACGUGUUGCCUUGUUCAGAUCACUUGCACAGUGUUGUAUGAUUCUUGUAGUUGCAUAAUGAUGUAUCUAUGCUAUAUGUAUAGUGCCUCGCCCUCAUUUUAUGUCAAGUUUUUUUAUGGGAAUCAAGCAUUUCAUUAAACUAUAGGCAUAGCUGGCUACCAAGUCCAAAAUACAACUUGCAUGUAACACUCACCGGACAUUUCAAUUCUAGUAUCUGUUCAUUUGGAGCAAAAUUGACUUGUUCGCCUUUUAGUACCAUGCGCAUAGUUAGUUUGCUUCAUGUAGCAUUUUCCCUUCUGUCAGUGCACACGCAACACCACGGUGACUACCAAAUGUUGGACACGGGCGAUCAAUGCGGACGCAACACCACGGUGACUCCAUUUUCUUUAACAAAAUGCCAUGUUAUUCCAGAUUGAAGAAAAAAUAACAACCUCAUCAUCAGAAGAGAGGAUAAGAAAAGAUGACUACUCAAUGUCAGCUACGACUACGAGCCAAAUGGAUGCUUCGGCAGAAUCAGCAUUUGGGAGCACCUCUUGCCAUUCCCAAAGCUCCCUCGUAGGUCUUGUUGCCCCCAGUGAAGCCACUCAUAUGAACAAACACACAGCCGGGAACGCGAGUUUCCUUGGACAGCUCGUCGUCUCUCAAGCCCCUCCACUUUUCUGGCAGAUCCUUCCUGCUCUCAAACCUAUCGGGAGCAACGGACACAGCUUGCACUCGCCAACUUUUGCUCCUCUCAUCCUGCAAUCAUGUGGACAAAAUCAAAUAAAUACACGUAUCAGAUACGGCGCGAUACUUCCCCGGUACGUCCAGCGCUCGGCGUCGAAGAGGACUACUGCCACCGGCGGCGAACAGGCCGAGCCGGCGUGGGGGCUUGGGGGCGCAGUAGCGGCCAAAGCAAAUUGGGCGGUCUCCAGCGAAAUUGAGAGUACUGGAGAGAAGAGGAAGCCUUGGGAAACCGAUUUUGCUGGCCAUUGAUGCGAGGUGAUGCUGGCAGCGAUCGAUUUGUCGCCGGCGGCGCUGCUUUGCGUGGAAGCAGAGAGAGAGAGAGCUAGGAAGAAACAGACGGGGGCGGCUGCGUGCUCGCGUUACCGUUACCAGUGAGAAUAGAAUAGGUUCGUCUAAAAAAAAUAGAAUAGAUUUACAUGGGCUGGAUGGGCCGAUGGACCCAAAGAAAUGUGAGCUAGCCCCAAAAAUUCAUGUCAAACUAGAUCGAUGUAUUCAAACCCGAAAAAUUCUAGGUCCUACGCGAUACGAUCCACGCCAAAAUAGUGUCAUCGAUGGAGAGCCAAAAUUGAUUAGCACCCGGCGGAUCAGGGGG